rnacentral:rRNA from 1 species
AGGACGAACGCUGGCGGCGUGCUUAACACAUGCAAGUCACGGGGGCUGGUGCAAACCAGUAACCGGCGAACGGGUGCGUAACACGUGAGCGACCUGCCUUAUUGAGGGGGAUAGCCGGCCCAACGGCCGGGUAAUACCGCAUACGCUUGAGUGGGGGCAUCCCUGUUCAAGGAAACCUCCGGGGCGAUAAGAGGGGCUCGCGGCCUAUCAGCUAGUUGGUGAGGUAACGGCUCACCAAGGCGAUGACGGGUAGCUGGUCUGAGAGGAUGGCCAGCCACAUUGGGACUGAGAGACGGCCCAGACUCCUACGGGAGGCAGCAGUGGGAAUCUUGCGCAAUGGCCGAAAGGCUGACGCAGCGACGCCGCGUGGAGGAUGACGCCCUUCGGGGUGUAAACUCCGUGUUCGCCCGGGACGAAUCGCCCCCUAGUUUGGGGAGUGACGGUACCGGUGAGGAAGCACCGGCUAACUCUGUGCCAGC